AAUAAUGAAUAUGUAAAGUUAAACCAGAAGAGAAAUGGCUCGAUUGGGGAUUGUACCAGAAGCCGAAGGAGUGAAACUCCUGGUUGCUGCCGCCUGCAAAUGUUCAACCAACAUAAAAAUUUGGGAGUUGAAGUUAGAACUUUGUCACAUUCCAAAUGGUGAGUACAGCAGAUAUAAACUUUUUGUAACUUGUCUGCUAUCAAGCGAAAAUGCUCCCAGGCAAUACCAUUGUGGCAAUGCCAUUGUGGUAUACAGAGACUGAAUAACAGGGCACAUUUUCCAUGCUCUAAUUAUGUCAUUGCAAUCCACUACUCAUCUCAAUCUCUCAGCUUUAUGUAGAGAGGGUCAGUUGAAGGAGGCGCUGCACAUUCUGCUUACCAGACAAAACCCCCCAGAAGAAUCCUCUGCAUAUCUUCAAUUAUUGGAGACCUGUAUUCUCAAAAAUACCCUUUCACAAGGGAAAAAAGUCCACUCUUUCAUCACUCACAGGAGAUAUGUAUUUGCUACUCACCCAAGAUUUCAUAAUAGGCUUAUUUACAUGUAUGUUAAGUGCGGAAGUUUGGUUGAUGCUCGAAAAGUGUUUAACCAAAUGAAAGAGCGAGACAGUCUCUCAUGGAAUACGAUUAUUGCAGCGUACAGAAGACAUGGGUAUCCUCACGAGGCAGUCACAUUGUUUCACCAUAUGCAAGAAACAGGUCUCCAACCCGAUCAGUUCACAUUUGCCAGUGUAAUUCCAGCCUGUGCCAAAAUGCAAGCGCUAGAAGAGGGUAUGGACAUCCAUCAAAGCAUAAAGGACAGAGGAAUUUUGUCAAAUGUUGUAGUUGCAACUGCUCUGGUAGACAUGUAUGCAAAAUGUGGAAGCAUAGACAAGGCACGUGAACUGUUUGACAAAAUAACUCACAGAAAUGUGGUCUCAUGGAAUGCAAUGAUUACAGGAUAUGCGCAAAAUGAAUUUGUUGAAGAGGCUUUAGAAACUUUCAAGCAAAUGCAAAUGGCUGGUGUAAAGCCAGACUCCACAACAUUUGCUAGCAUACUCCCUGCCUGUGCCAAAAUGGGAGCUUUGGAACAAGGUAUAGAUAUCCAUCAUAGCAUAAAGGAUAGAGGAAGUCUGUCAGAUGUAGUAGUUGUAAGUGCACUGAUAGACAUGUAUGCAAAAUGUGGAAGCUUAGACAAGGCACGUGAACUGUUUGACGAAAUGCCUCAAAGAAAUGUGGUCUCAUGGACUGCAAUGAUUGCAGGAUAUGCACACAAUGGAUUUGUUGAAGAGGCAUUAGAAACUUUCAAGCAGAUGCAAUUGGCAGGCGUAAAACCGAAUUCCGCAACCUUUGCCACCAUCCUCCCCGCCUGUGCCAAAAUGGGAGCUUUGGAACAGGGUGUGGAUAUCCAUCAAAGCAUACUGGAAGGGGGGUUUUUGUCGGACAUUGUAGUUGGAAAUGCUAUGGUAGACAUGUAUGGAAAAUGUGGAAGCAUAGAGAAGGCACGUGAAUCGUUUGACAGAAUGCCUCAAAGAAAUGUUGUUUCAUGGACUGCAAUGAUUGCAGGAUAUACUCAAAAUGGGUUGGUUGAAAAGGCUUUAGAAACUUUCAAGCAAAUGCAAUUGGCAGAUGUAAAGCCGAAUUCCACAACCAUUGCCAGCAUCCUCCCUGCCUGUGCCAAAAUUGGAGCUUUGGAACAUGGUAUGAACAUCCAUCAAUGUGUAAUGGAAGGGGGUUUUUUGUCAGAUAUUACAGUUGGAAAUGCUCUGUUAGACAUGUAUGCAAAAUGUGGAAGCAUAGAUAAAGCACGUAAAUUAUUUGACAGAAUGCCUCAAAAAAAUGUGAUGUCAUGGACUGCAAUGAUUGCAGGAUAUGCACAAACUGGAUUUGGUGAAAAGGCUUUAGAAAUUUUCAGGCAAAUGCAAUUGGCAGGUAUAAAACCAAAUUCCACGACCUUUAUCAGCAUCCUCCCUGCCUGUGCCAAAAUUGGAGCUUUGGAACAGGGUAUAGACAUCCAUCGAAGUAUAAUGGAUAGAGGAAUUUCGUCAGAUGUUGUAGUUGCAACUGCCCUGGUAGACAUGUAUGCAAAAUGUGGAAGCAUAGACAAGGCACGCAAAUUUUUUGACAUGAUGCCUCAAAAAAAUGUGGUUUCAUGGACUGCAAUGAUUGCAGGAUAUGCACAAAAUGGAUUUGCUGAAAAGGCUUUAGAAACUUUCAAGCAAAUGCAAUUGGCAGGUGUCAAGCCAAAUUCCACAACCUUUGCCAGCGUCCUCCCUGCCUAUGCCAAAAUGGGAGCUUUGGAACAGGGUAUUGAUAUCCAUCAAAGCAUAAAGGAUGGAGAAAUUUUGUCUGAUGUUGUAGUUGCAACUGCACUAAUAGACAUGUAUGCAAAAUGUGGAAGCAUAGACAGGGCAUCUGAACUGUUUGACAGAAUGCCUCAAAGAGAUGUCAUCUCAUGGAAUGCAAUGAUUGCAGGAUAUGCACAAAAUGGAUUUUUUGAAAAGGCUUUAGAAACAUUCAAUCAAAUGCAACUGGCAGUUGUAAAGCCAAAUUCCAGAACAUUUGCAAGCAUCCUCCCUGCCUGUGCCAAAAUGGGAGCUUUAGAAAAGGGUAUUGACAUCCAUCAAAGCAUAAUGGAUGGAGGAUUUUUGUCAGAUAAUACUGUUGGAAAUGCCCUGGUAAACAUGUAUGCAAAAUGUGGAAGCAUAGGCAAGGCACGUGAACUUUUUGACAGAAUGCCUCAAAGAGAUGUCAUCUCAUGGAAUGCAAUGAUUGCUGGAUAUGCACAAAAUGGAUUUUGCAAGGACGCUCUCAAAAUCUUUGAAUUAAUGAAGCAUUGUAGAACAUAUCCUGAUAUUGUAAGCUUUGCUUGUGUUCUAUAUGCAUGCAGCCAUGCAGGUUUAGUGGAUAAGGGCUGCACAUAUUUCAAUCACAUGAAUAACACUUAUUGCAUUACACCUACAGUUGACCAUUAUGUGUGCAUGAUUGACCUUCUUGCCCGUGCUGGCUAUCUUGAGGACACCCUAAACUUUAUCAUUAAGAUGCCAGUUAAACCUGUGGUGGUUGUGUGGAUGUCUUUUCUUGGAGCCUGUAAAUUACAUAUGAAUAUAGGCUUAGGAGUAUUUACAGCAAUGCUGCUUUUUGAUCUGGAUUCUAAAAAUGCUGCGACUUAUGUUCUUCUCUCAAACAUGUAUGCCGAAAUGGGCAGGUGGGGUGAGGUUCAAAUGGUAAGGAGCUUGAUGAAAGAUGAAGGAAUUAAAAAGAUCCCUGGAUGUAGUUGGAUUGAAAGCAAUAAGAUGAUACAUGUUUUUUGUGUAGGAGACAGAUCACAUCCACAGACACGAGAGAUCUAUGCAAAAUUGGAGAAAUUAGCUUGGGAGAUGAAGGCAUCAGGGUAUAUUCCAGAUUCAAAACAUUUACCUAAUGAUGUGGAAGAGGAGGAAAAAGAAUUAUUCCUCUGCUACCAUAGUGAAAAGUUGGCAAUUGCAUUUGGUUUGUUAAACAUGCCGCCUGAAACAAUUAUUAGAGUUUUUAAGAACCUUCGAGUAUGUGCUGAUUGUCAUACUGCAACAAAAUUUAUCUCCAAGAUUGUUGGAAGAGAAAUUGUUGUGAGAGAUGCAAACCGUUUUCAUCAUUUCAAAGAGGGACAAUGUUCUUGUGAAGAUUAUUGGUGAUACUAAUGGAGCAAUCGGAAAAAUAGGCUUGAAAUAUGAUAAUGUGCACCAAGUCAGACCUAUAGUAAUAAUGAACGGACAAGGACACCUGCAUAUGUGUAAUGAAAAGGCGGAGGAGGAGGUGGAGAAUGAAGAUAAAAUAAAAGAUGAAGAACACUUAAAGUAGAUGAAAAGAUGCUUGACCAAUAGGAAAUGAGAAAGGAUGGCUUACAAUCUAUCCUUUCCAAUUUGUAUAGUUCUUUUGUUUGGAUUAAUUUUAUUAUCUUUUCUUCUAUGUAAGGUCAACCAUUUGAAAUUAAUUACACAUUUUAGGUC